UUAGUGGAGAAGUAGGUUUGUCUCCCUUGCUGAUCUUCCUUGCUCCGAAUGCAGAUCUGUCUGAAUACUUGCUGAUAUGUUAUACAUUGCCGUUGUGCCCUCUACUAAAUACUUGGUCAUCCAACUGAACUGCAAUGUCAAAAUCAGGCAGUAAAAAAUAAGCACAAAUUCACAGGCCUGAAAGAUAUUCCUUUCUGUUGGAGUUUCUUAAUAGAGCAAAGAGAUAAAACAUAGUAGCUAUUAAUGUAGACAGAAAUGCGCAAAGCUCUAUGUACUGUUGGACUAGGGCUGUGCUCUCUGGGACAUGUAGUAGAAAAAUAAAAGGGAAUAUACCCAUCUUAACUAGAAAUAGCAUAGGGAGCUAUAAUAUAUGCAUAAUUUAUAUAUUAUAUAUGUAUAAUUACUGUAUAAUUUAUGUAUAUGACUAGAAAAGGUAAUUAGCGAAUAUAACCGGCUAUUUGCCCAGCUCUCAACUCGGCUUUAAUCCUUAUUUUCUUACACAGUUGCCGCUGACACUUCUGCUUUGCAUACAGCAGAAAAAUUCUGCUUUGCUUUAGCCAACACUUCAACUUCGACAAUUUUUGGCGAAACUUCUGUUUCGCAUACAAUGGUGCCGGAAAUGGUUCCACCGGCGGCGACCUUCCCACUGCUCCGCAACCUUCUCACCGAUUCACGAACGAGCUUUGAAGCUCGAAGUUUAAUGCCCAGAUGUGAAGUUCGAAUUCGGGGAUGAAAAAUUGAUCAAGGUGAAUAGAGGUUGUGUAUUUGAGCUAGAAAUCACUGUCAAAAUUCGUUUGUGUGCUAACGAGAAUACAGUUUGUUGUUGUU
rnacentral:lncRNA from 1 species